AAGAAAAAUGUAGGCCUGCUUAGAGUUUAAAAAGAGGGGAAAUGUUAGCUAUUUUUAAGUGGGGUUGAUGGAAUUUUCUCCGUCACAAAGAAUUCCUUUUUAGCCUAUGUGUGUGGGGAUACGAGGUGUUAGCCAUUCUCUAGUCCUACUGUAUAAUUGAUUGAAUCUACAGGUUUAAUAUUCAGAAAAAGUUGUGAACUCUGCCCUUCACCAACAGUGAACAAGGUCCCUGAUUCAUGGCAUUGCCUCACAGAUACAGGACAAGUAUUCAAAAAUCCAGAUCUUUUAAAAAUGGAAUGAACUCCCAAGAAGCAAGAAUGCCAAGACUGCAUACCUUCUGUAUCUACUUAGUCCUCUGUUUAAUAUCUGUUAUUAAACCUCCUUAGAAUAAAAUCCAUUCCUAUUUUAUCCACCAUUCCCAGUGUGUACCUAUAAUCCUACCUUGGAAGUGGCAAGCUAACUGCUGAUUUACUUCAUUGUUUUAUACCAAUCCUGAAAGACAAGAACUUUUAUUAUCAAUGUAUUUAAACUGAGUUGUUAUAUGUAUAAUUAAUAAUUUGUCUUCAAAAUAUUUCAAAUUAUCAUUAACACUUUUUUGAGUGCCAAGAAUUGCUAAGUAACUAUGUAACAUAUAUGAAGAUAGUCAUCCCCCAGCAAUCAAGCAGUCAUUGUAAGCCAAAAUGUAGUGUACUUGGUAUGUAACUACUCCAGACAGUACACUCAACACUUAAAAUUUCAUGUAAACCCUCUCAGAAAUUGAUUAGAAUACGAUUUCCAUUAGUGAAUUUUUUUCAUUUUGCUCUCGUCAA
rnacentral:lncRNA from 1 species